UCCUUCUCCGUCGAUUUUUUCCAACUGCUCCCAUCUUCUUCUCGCAAGUUUCAGUCCACCACCAUCAUCUCCACCACCAUCAACAUCCACAUCGGUGCCAGAUUCUCCACCAUCAUCAUCACGUCCAUCGUAUUUACCUUCAUCAGAAGAUUUAGGUUUUUUAUUCCUCUUUCAAUUGUAGUUCAUCUCAGGGCAACUGGUGAUGCUCCAAUACUUAAACAAGCCAAGUUCAAGGAUUCUCUCUUUUCCUCGCAUGGAUGACAGAUUGCCUGCACCAUUAUAUCAGGGAACUCCGCCUGUUAAGGAAAAGCAUGGAGGCUGUGAAGAAACAAAGAAGAGGUUUUGAUGACGCCAAGAAUGGAGCUUCAGAGGAAGCAAAAGCCAUGGAGGAAGAGCUCACCAGUUUGAAGGCGAAAGUUAAGAAGUUGGAAUCCGAGUGCGAGACAAAGAAAAAGGAUGUUAAAGCAGCAGAAGCAAACGCAGAGGCUUUGAGGAAGCAAUCGGAAGGGUUCCUUCUCGAGUAUGACAGGUUGUUGGAAGACAAUUAAAACCUCAGGGAGCAAUUACAAUCACUGGAUCGUGGUUUGUCACAUUCUAAUUUCAAGAAGAACCCAUAGUGAACCCACUAUUUUCUACAGAACGGGAAAUUUCGGACACACAUGAUAACAAGCUCAAGGGGAUGGAGUUGGUGGUACUGCAACGGUCUUGGAUGUGUUGGUGUUUCCAUGAAGAUGUUACUGCAACAAGCUACAGGGUAUUAGUGAGCUGCAAAUCGAGUUGAAGUAAUUGCAGUGUUUGGUGCAGUUGAAAUGGCUUGAGGCAAAGUUGGUGUUGUUGUUGCAGGUAUAAGUGAAACUACAGUAAGGAGAUGGUGGUGCUGAUAAAGUUAGAUAUCGUGAUGGAGUUGCAAUACAACUGAAGAUGGGUGAAGGCAGAGUUGUUGCUGGUGUUGUGUGUUCUUGGAUGGAGAAACAGAGGAAAAUCUGUCCGGGUUUCUACUCCGGCGAGUUAACUCGCUGAUCCGAUCCAGCUCCUACCUCAGCUGAAUAAUACAUUUGACUCGGCUAACUCAUUCUUUACCUUGACCAGUUGACUAACGGUUUGACUAAAUUGAUUGUUAGCUAUGACAGUAUUAUGAUGGAAUAUUCUGUCAACAGAUUAGAAGAUUCCAGUAAUCAGCAGCAGUUGUUUUGUUUGAACA